GAUGAACGCUGGCGGCGUGCUUAACACAUGCAAGUCGAACGGAAAGGCCCUGCUUUUGUGGCGUGCUCGAGUGGCGAACGGGUGAGUAACACGUGAGUAACCUGCCCUUGACUUUGGGAUAACUUCAGGAAAAUGGGGCUAAUACCGGAUAGGAGCUCCUGCUGCAUGGUGGUGGUUGGAAAGUUUCGGCGGUUGGGGCUGGACUCGCGGCUUAUCAGCUUGUUGGUGGGGUAUUGGCUUACCAAGGCUUUGACGGGUAGCCGGCCUGAGAGGGUGACCGGCCACCAUGGGACUGCGGUACGGCCCAGACUGCUAUGGGAGGCAGCAGUGGGAAGUAUUGCACAAUGGGCGGAAGCCUGAUGCAGCAACGCCGCGUGCGGGAUGACGGCCUUCGGGUUGUAAACCGCUUUCGCCUGUGACGAAGCGUGAGUGACGGUAAUGGGUAAAGAAGCACCGGCUAACUACGUG
rnacentral:rRNA from 1 species